rfam:Pteropus alecto contig49534, whole genome shotgun sequence.
UGUUCCAUAGUGUAGUGGUUAGCACAUCUGCUUUACAUGCAGAAGGUCCUGGGUUCAUGCCCCAGUGGAGCCA